rnacentral:lncRNA from 1 species
GAAGGCAGGGGAGCGCGGGAUCUCGCUCCAACCUGCGCCACACGAUGGCUCCAACCCCCAGCCCACCAUAUCCCACCCUCCCGCCACAACUUCUCUCCGCUGACUCACCACCACUUGCCGCCCACCGGACCGGAGCAAGGGACCGACCAUGGCCACCGAGGUGGUGGCGCUCUCGCCGGCCUCCCGCCUGCCGUCCCUCUCCUCCAGGCCUAACGCUCUAGCCGCCUCCUCCUCCCGGUCCCGAGCACCUCGCGGCGCCCGUGCCCCCAGUUCACCGCUGGCGCUCACCACCUCCACGGGGCACCGGCGCAAAGCGCUCCUCCUCCUCCGGCCCCGCGCCACCGAGCAGCAAGG